AAAUAAAUCAAUUUAAAAAUUAAUUUAUUCGAUUUGAAUAUAUAAAAUUACUAUUCGGUUCCAUUCGAUUUAAUCGAUUUUUUUUCUUUAAAACUGAACCGAAUCGAAAUAAUCAAAAUUUUUAUGAUAUAAAACCUAAUCGCACCAAGUGAAUUUUAAAAUCAAACCGAUUGAAUCAAAUUAAUUCGAUUCGAUUUUUCAAUUUGAACCGAAAUUUGCUCACCCUCUAGCUGCAUGUAUGCUCUAG
rnacentral:misc_RNA from 1 species